rnacentral:SRP_RNA from 2 species
GCCGGGCGUGGUGGCGGGCGCCUGUAAUCCCAGCUACUCGGGAGGCUGAGGCAGGAGAAUGGCCUGAACCCAGGAGGUGGAGCUUGCAGUGAGCCGAGAUCACGCCACUGCACUCCAGCCUGGGUGACAGAGCGAGACUCUGUCUCAA